rnacentral:rRNA from 1 species
AGCAGCCGCGGUAAUUCCAGCUCCAAUAGCGUAUAUUAAAGUUGUUGCAGUUAAAAAAGACUCGUAGUUGAAUUUCGGGAUCAAUACGCCUGUCGUGCCUUCGGUACGUACGGGUGUAAUUGGUCUCUACCUUCUGAGGAUCCUUGAUGUCAUUAAUUUGGUGUCUUGGGGAAUCAGGACUGUUACCUUGAAAAAAAUUAGAGUGUUUAAAGCAGGCAUACGCUUGAAUACAUUAGCAUGGAAUAAUGAAAUAGGACGUUCGAUUCUAUUUUGUUGGUUUUCUAGGAUCGACGUAAUGAUUAAUAGGGAUAGUUGGGGGCAUUAGUAUUCAAUUGUCAGAGGUGAAAUUCUUGGAUUUAUUGAAGACUAACUACUGCGAAAGCAUUUGCCAAGGAUGUUUUCAUUAAUCAAGAACGAAAGUUAGGGGAUCGAAGACGAUCAGAUACCGUCGUAGUCUUAACCAUAAACUAUGCCGACUAGGGAUCGGAUGAUGUUGAUUUUUUAAUGACUCAUUCGGCGC